rnacentral:rRNA from 1 species
CCUACGGGAGGCAGCAGUGAGGAAUAUUGGUCAAUGGGAGAGAUCCUGAACCAGCCAAGCCGCGUGAGGGAAGACGGCCCUAUGGGUUGUAAACCUCUUUUGUCGGAGAACAAAACCCGGGACGUGUCCCGGACUGCGUGUAUCCGAAGAAAAAGCAUCGGCUACCUCCGUGCCAGCGGCAGCGGUAAUACGGAGGAUGCGAGCGUUAUCCGGAUUUAUUGGGGUUAAAGGGUGCGUAGGCGGUACGUUAAGUCAGCGGGAAAAUUGCGGGGCUCAACCCCGUCGAGCCGUUGAAACUGGCAGACUUGAGUUGGCGAGAAGUACGCGGAAUGCGCGGUGUAGCGGUGAAAUGCAUAGAUAUCGCGCAGAACUCCGAUUGCGAAGGCAGCGUACCGGCGCCAGACUGACGCUGAGGCACGAAAGCGUGGGGAUCGAACAGGAUUAGAUACCCGGGUAGUC